rnacentral:lncRNA from 1 species
GUCAAGCCACUGGAAGAUUGUCUUCAUUAAAUGGCCUGCAUUAUAUGAGCAGUUUUAGAUUAUAAGUGUUCGAUGUUUAAACACUUUAUAACAACACUGCUGUCAGUGGAUGAUGAAACUAAACACCAAUACAACAAAGCUGUGAUCGUUCGAUCUAAGGAACGGUUCCACAACUGGACGUUUUUUUGUGGCCUCAAAAUAGAUUCCUUUCGCUCAUCCACCUGUGCUUUGACAAUCCUCCAUGAUAAACGUUAACCUAAAUUUUGUUAUUAUGUUAUUUACCUCUAAUAUAGUUGAUUUAGCAAUUCCUACAAGGAAUUAGUACAGCAAAAGUAUAUCAUGUACAAGUAGUGCACCUGGUACAGCAAUACCUAAUUUGUCUCAUCUUGUGAGUAGACAUUAAUUUAUCCUAAGUCGUCUGGCAAUCCUAUUUGCGGCUCCAAUCUUAGGAUAUUCAGAGAUAAGCUAUUAACUAAUCUCCAGAGACCGACAAUUAAAUGCAUUUAAUGUAUGACUCAUGCCCAGUAAAACUACAAUGCACAAAAGAAUAGAUGUAUUUUGAACUUUCUGGUAUCAGUUGAGGGGCUCCUCACAGUAGAACUGCUGAUUUGGAAAUAAUACUUUUGUUGUCAGUUUAUGCUGCUCCUUCACUGAACUUCCAAACGUUGGCAGCAGGAUGUCUGCCAGUAUUUUACAGAAUGUUACAAGGAGCUAUUCUUGGAAUGUUACUAGUCUCUGUGGUGAAGAAGGACUGGAGGUUUGGAAUGCUGGAAGGAACGACAUUGGACUUUGCUUUCAGCAGCUUUUUUUGGAUAUACCAGUUUUAGCUCUUUUAGCGCUCUGUUCAAGCUAUUAUAUAGGAAGGGGGGAUCGUUUGGUGGCCAGGGGAAGGCCCCAACUUCUAGCCAUAUGUUUGCGUUGUUUGUUGACUCUAAUAUUAGCAUGUUUGCCCUUGUUGCAAAUAUAUGUGUUCAGAUAUAAAACAUUG